UAGCUUGCUAGAUGAUGUCGAGUGGCGGACGGGUGAGUAAUGCUUGGGAACUUGCCUUUGCGAGGGGGAUAACAGUUGGAAACGACUGCUAAUACCGCAUAAUGUCUUCGGACCAAACGGGGCUUAGGCUCCGGCGCAAAGAGAGGCCCAAGUGAGAUUAGCUAGUUGGUGAGGUAAAGGCUCACCAAGGCAACGAUCUCUAGCUGUUCUGAGAGGAAGAUCAGCCACACUGGGACUGAGACACGGCCCAGACUCCUACGGGAGGCAGCAGUGGGGAAUAUUGCACAAUGGGGGAAACCCUGAUGCAGCCAUGCCGCGUGUGUGAAGAAGGCCUUCGGGUUGUAAAGCACUUUCAGUUGUGAGGAAAAGUUAGUAGUUAAUACCUGCUAGCCGUGACGUUAACAACAGAAGAAGCACCGGCUAACUCCGUGCCAGCAGCCGCGGUAAUACGGAGGGUGCGAGCGUUAAUCGGAAUUACUGGGCGUAAAGCGCACGCAGGCGGUUUGUUAAGCUAGAUGUGAAAGCCCCGGGCUCAACCUGGGACGGUCAUUUAGAACUGGCAGACUAGAGUCUUGGAGAGGGGAGUGGAAUUCCAGGUGUAGCGGUGAAAUGCGUAGAUAUCUGGAGGAACAUCAGUGGCGAAGGCGACUCCCUGGCCAAAGACUGACGCUCAUGUGCGAAAGUGUGGGUAGCGAACAGGAUUAGAUACCCUGGUAGUCCACACCGUAAACGCUGUCUACUAGCUGUUUGUGGCUUU
rnacentral:rRNA from 1 species